CGGCCCGGCGGGCGGCCGGGUCGUCCGUACCGCGGCUCUCGAUCGCGAUCGUGGUCAGCAGCCGCGCCCGGACCGGAUCGGGGCCGGCCGGGCCGA
rnacentral:tRNA from 1 species